rnacentral:snRNA from 1 species
GGACGUGAGGGCGAUUUGGCUAUGACACCUGGGUAUUCAUCACCAGAGCUGAUUUUGUUCAUCUGGAUGGCUAAAGGGGUACCCCAUCCCUCCCCCAUCACUCCAUGUGUAUCUAUCUCUCUAGGGCUGUAUGCUCCAUCAGAAAGGACAGUGUCUUCUAUGGCGGAGGACCACUCUUUGGUUAGUGAUACACAAGUAGCUGUACUUUCCUGCUGGAAGCUCCAAACGGCUCUCAAGAAGGCUGUGUGGGAAUAUGUCUAUUCAUGAUUUACGUAGGAGCUGUGA